UCACUGGGUGCGGUUCAUCCUG
rnacentral:miRNA from 1 species